UACGUAGGGUGCAAGCGUUAAUCGGAAUUACUGGGCGUAAAGCGUGCGCAGGCGGUUAUAUAAGACAGUUGUGAAAUCCCCCGGGCUCAACCUGGGAACUGCAUCUGUGACUGUAUAGCUAGAGUACGGUAGAGGGGGGAUGGAAUUCCGCGUGUAGCAGUGAAAUGCGUAGAUAUGCGGAGGAACACCGAUGGCGAAGGCAAUCCCCCUGGACCUGUACUGAC
rnacentral:rRNA from 1 species